CCCUUAGAUGUCCUGGGCCGCACGCGCGCUACAAUGACAUAUGCAGCAAGUUUUUUUUCCUGACCCGGAAGGGCUUGGGUAAUCUUGGAAAUGUAUGUCGUGUUAGGGAUAGAUCUUUGCAAUUAUGGAUCUUGAACGAGGAAUUCCUAGUAAGUGCAAGUCAUCAGCUUGUACUGAUUACGUCCCUGCCCUUUGUACACACCGCCCGUCGCUCCUACCGAUUUCGAGUGGUCCGGUGAACCUUCUGGACUGCAGAUGGCAACAUCCGCGGAAAGUUAAGUAAACCUUAUCACUUAGAGGAAGGAGAANUCGUAACA
rnacentral:rRNA from 1 species